UACAGAGGUCCCGAGCGUUGUUCGGAUUCACUGGGCGUAAAGGGUGCGUAGGUGGCUUGAAAAGUUUGAUGUGAAAGCUCAGGGCUUAACCCUGAAAUGGCAUUGAAUACUGUCGGGCUGGAGGUUUGGAGGGGGGACUGGAAUUCUUGGUGUAGCAGUGAAGUGCGUAGAUAUCAAGAGGAACACCAGUGGCGAAGGCGAGUCCCUGGACAACACCUGACACUGAGGCACGAAAGCUAGGGGAGCAAACAGG
rnacentral:rRNA from 1 species